GCAACCUGCCCCAGAGUGGGGGAUAGCCCACCGAAAGGUGGAUUAAUACCGCAUGUGGUCCCCGCCGGGCAUCCGGUGGGGAUUAAAGCAGCAAUGCGCUCUGGGAUGGGCUCGCGGCCUAUCAGCUUGUUGGUGGGGUAACGGCCUACCAAGGCUACGACGGGUAGCUGGUCUGAGAGGAUGGUCAGCCGGAUUGGGACUGAGACACGGCCCAGACUCCUACGGGGGGCAGCAAUUAGGAAUCUUGCGCAAUGGGCGAAAGCCUGACGCAGCGACGCCGCGUGACCGAUGAAGUCCUUCGGGAUGUAAAGGUCUUUUGCCAGGGAAGAAGAACGUGACGGUACCUGGCGAAUAAGCCCCGGCUAACUACGUGCCAGCAGCCGCGGUAAGACGUAGGGGGCGAGCGUUGUCCGAAGUCACUGGGCGUAAAGCGCGCGUAGGCGGCCUCUUAAGUUGGGUGUGAAAUCCUGCGGCCCAACCGCAGAACUGCAUCCAAAACUGGGAGGCUUGAGGACGGAAGAGGGCAGUGGAAUUCCUGGUGUAGCGGUGAAAUGCGUAGAUAUCAGGAGGAACACCCGUGGCGAAGGCGGCUGCCUGGUCCGUAUCUGACGCUGAGGUGCGAAAGCCAGGGGAGCG
rnacentral:rRNA from 1 species